GAUGAACGCUGGCGGCGUGCUUAACACAUGCAAGUCGAACGGGAAACAUUUUAUUGAAGCUUCGGCAGAUCUAGCUUGUUUCUAGUGGCGGACGGGUGAGUAACGCGUGGGUAACCUGCCUCACACUGGGGGAUAACAGUCAGAAAUGGCUGCUAAUACCGCAUAAGCGCACAGCAUCGCAUGAUGCAGUGUGAAAAACUCCGGUGGUGUGAGAUGGACCCGCGUUGGAUUAGCUAGUUGGCAGGGCAGCGGCCUACCAAGGCGACGAUCCAUAGCCGGCCUGAGAGGGUGAACGGCCACAUUGGGACUGAGACACGGCCCAGACUCCUACGGGAGGCAGCAGUGGGGAAUAUUGCACAAUGGGGGAAACCCUGAUGCAGCGACGCCGCGUGAAGGAAGAAGUAUCUCGGU
rnacentral:rRNA from 1 species